GUAUGCACUCACUCACUCGCUCUGGAUAAGAGCGUCUGCUAAAUUACUAAAAUGUAAAAAAAAAUUAAAAUGUGGUAAAACUUGCAGAACUUAGAUUUAUGAUUGUAGAAGCUCAAACAAUUAUAAAUUGAACCACUCCUACGACAAAUUAUUUUCAAUGGAACCACCACUGUUGUUUCUGCUUACAGUGGUACUACAAACACUUCAACAACAAAAUCAUCAACAACAAUACUGCUAUUUCCCAUUACUACUGCUGAUUCUGAUGAAAUUGACAAGGAUAACUGUAAUGACAAAUCUAAAAUACAUUUUAAGAGAAUGGUGAUCUAAACAACAGCAGAAUUGCCCUUCUUUUAGAAGAUAAACAUUAUCAAUGUAAUUACAUCAGCGUAAAUAUGUAAUAUUGUGUAAAUUAGAUCUUUAGCUAAAACAUUCUUGUAAAUGGAAUUUUAUCUGUAGCUCAGUACCAUUAGUGGCAGAGUUGGAGGCAGCCUAGAGGACUGUAAUUAACUCCAUUCAUGCGCGACUAAACAUUUUUGACAUUUUCCCUAGUCCAGAAUGAACUGUCACUGCAGAGAGAGAGUAACCAUCUUGUCACAUUGUGUUUGUAUAAGAAUAACAGAAUGCUGUGUGUUCUAUUUCUGAGAGUGUCAAGUUUCGUUUCAGAGAUUUUUCAUUAUCAGCAAAAUGAUGGAAAGAGAGAUAAAUAUCAGCCUGAAACACUAGGGUGUGUCUGCCUUUUGGAGUGUGCUUGUGUGUGCGUGUGUGUGUGUGUGCAAGAGAAAGACAGAGGGAAAGAGAGCAAGCAUAUUCAAAAUGUUUGGCAGCUUAGGAUGGCAAGAUUCUACUACCCUCUUCUUACCAAACUGCACUAAGGCCCCGAUUCAAUCAGAUCGAGUGUUAACCCACGUUGAAAGUCUCAUCCUAGUUUUAGGAAGUCAAGCUAGCCUAUUCUAAAGCCCAUAAACAGUCCAAGUGUGGGCUUUAAUGGACUCCCUUUGCCCACUGGGGUUAUCCUUUACAGAAAAUAGGCCCCAGUUUGUGCCUCCAGAGUUAUAUCUCCACUUGGAAGGAAAAGGGUUCAUUACAUCUGCACAAAAUUCAACCACCUUCAGACCACCCUUAGCGGGACAGUAACAACCGGAUGCAUCCGGUGUUCAUGGGAAAUGGGAAGAGGGUUUCCAACUAGCCUGUGAUGCGACUUUCGUUUUUUGGAGAUAAACCAGUAUUUCUGCGAUAACAAGGCAACACUCCAUCUUAACUCUUCCUCCACAUUUACUGGAUUGGUUGAACAGUGGAGAAGAGAACCUCCCCAGACAUUUGUUUUUCUCUCGCCAGGACCAGAAAUAAGGAAACGCUGCACAUGCAUUUAUUUUACACCUGCUACGUUAGGUUACCUACAAACCAACAUGCUAGCCACCUCUCCAAAGUGCAAGCACGUUCUGUCAAGUUAAAUACAGUCAGCCCUGUUAGCCUACCAGCCAUGUGGCAGGAUGCCUCAGUUGCUCCACUAUCCUAUCAACAGGCAGUCAUAGAUGGGAUUGAGCCCCAGUCUCAGCCUCGCUACCUGAACAACAGUGAUACUGUGCUACACGUUAAUGCUAUACUGUUUGAACCGUGGUCCUAUUUUACCGCCAACCUAGCUACCAACCUGCUGCCUCUUGCUGUUAUGACUCUUGCUGUAUUUCCACUCCAAUUUUGGAGCAAGCAGUAAAGUAUGUGGGUACUUUGAUUGUAAGUCGUUCUGUAUAAGAGCAUCUGCUAAAUGACCAAAAUGUAAAAAAUACAAAUACAAAUAAAAGAAAGUAAAUGUACUUUGUGUUUUUUUUCCUAGAUACAAAUAUAAUAAGUUACAGUGCAUGGUGAACAAAGCAUAAAGAGAUGACAAGAUGACUUUAACUGUAGCUUAGGUGAUAUUCCAUGAGCAUACUCAAAAAGACAAAAACAUUAAUCAACCUCCUUUUGCAGGAGAAAAUGCAAUAUCCUACACAACAUAGUUCCUGAAAACACCUUUUAUGCAUUGAAAGAACCAAUAAUGGUAGCUUUGUGGAGAGG
rnacentral:lncRNA from 1 species